GAGUGGUCAAAAAAAUAAACUGAAUCAUUCAAGUUUUUUUAAUAAAUUGUUUUUUGGAUUGUACAAUAUGAGUUUCCUUAAAAUAUUGUCUGCUUGUUGUUAAACUUGUUUCACGAUGCUACUUUCAAAGAAGCUUUUACUGAAGCAUUUGUUAUGCACUAUGAAUGCGUAGCACGGAUGUUGGAAAAAACAAAAGAUUCAAGCACCAUAUCUAACCAAAAUGCUAAUGUAAAUGUUCAAUUGAUCCACACUUUAUGAUCUAUUGCUAUUCAUUUUAUGGAUGAUAAACGUUUGUUAGAUUCGUGGUUCUCAUAUUUUCCGUGUUUCAAGGAAUGAAUGUCAACUGUCGAGAGUUGAAGCAUCACGUUGAAUUUGAAUCUGAAAUUUAGGCUGAUUUUAUUGCUGAACUCCAAUUCAGUGCAAACAUCAUGUAGGCCAUGCUAUCACAUCUCACAUCCACUCAUAUUUGGGAAUUGGCUUCAAACGUGAUUUGUGCAUGUCUAAAACGCUAACUCAAAUGGCUUGAAAAUAUAGGUUACUUUAAUAAUCAGUGUGCAAGCGAUGUUUGUGGUGGUAAUGUAAAAUUUACAGUUGACUAUAAUAUUGGUACCCAUAGUACCAUAGCCAUUAUAUGACUAUCAGAUAAUCUCAACCAGUUCAGUUUUCAUCUGCCCUUGCAUCGGUAUUUGGGGGUUUUCGUGUGUCGAGCAGUGCAGAGCAAGGCGCACGAAUUGAGGAUAUCAUACCAUAAAUCAGUACAAUUGAUACAGCUGAAAGAGAUUCAUUAUUACUAGCGAUUGCUUUACGUCUUGUUCAAGCUCAAGCUGAAUUCCAUGAAAUUAUAUAGAAAGCAUGGAUUUGAAAUGGUGAAUAAAUUGUAAAUCAAGCUAUGGUGUACAUAAAAUCAGAAUUCUGUACAUCAAUGGUUGAUGCGGAUAUAUAUUUACUUCAAUUUUGUCUAUCUGAAUUAUCAGAUGCCAACAUAUUUAUGUCUUUAAUAUUAGAAAAGUUUAAAGUAUAUAAUUGGCUCCAUAUAAUAAAACAUGAUGGACUACCACAGAUAAUGGAUAAUGUGGAGUAUGAUUAAUCUACUAUAGAAGGUCUAUUGGUAUUUAUGGCAACUUUAGAAUACGUCCGAAAUAAUUUAUGUUCUAACAAAGAUUAUGAUUAUUGUCAAUUCCAACGGAAAAUGGUAACAUUGUUAUGGGUAACAUUCAAAGAUGAUCAAGUACAAGAGGCCUCAACUUGAAGCAUCAGUAUUAUGCAGCAAGGGUUGUUGUACCAUUACCUUAGCUUUGGCAUAACUUAUACGAUCUAUUACAUAUACUUUAGAGAGUAUUUCAUAGAAGCGACUUACAAUAAGCAUUAGAUUUUUUAGAUUAGCAAUAACCAGUGGCAUAUUUAUGGUGGGGGGGGGGGGUGCCGAGGGUUUCUAAAAAAAGUUUCCCCAAAAAAUA